rnacentral:rRNA from 1 species
GGAGUUAGCCGGUGCUUCUUCUGUGAGUGAUGUCCUUCCUGCCGGCUAUUAACCCGCAGGCCUUCUUCCUCACUGAAAGUGCUUUACAACCCGAAGGCCUUCUUCACACACGCGGCAUGGCUGGAUCAGGGUUGCCCCCAUUGUCCAAUAUUCCCCACUGCUGCCUCCCGUAGGAGUCUGGGCCCGUGUCUCAGUCCCAGUGUGGCUGAUCAUCCUCUCAGACCAGCUACGGAUCGUCGCCUUGGUGAGCCGUUACCUCACCAACCAGCUAAUCCGACAUAGGCUCAUCCGAUAGCGCGAGGCCCGAAGGUCCCCCGCUUUCCCCCGUAGGGCGUAUGCGGUAUUAGCCUGGGUUUCCCCAGGUUAUCCCCCACUACCCGGGCAGAUUCCUAUGCAUUACUCACCCGUCCGCCGCUCGCCACCAGGGAGCAAGCUCCCCGUGCUGCCGCUCGACUUGCAUGUGUUAGGCCUGCCGCCAGCGUUCAAUCUGAGCCAUGAUCAAACUCUGA